UACAGAGGGUGCAAGCGUUAAUCGGAAUUACCGGGCGUAAAGGGCGCGUAGGCGGUUAUGUAAGUGAGAUGUGAAAUCCCUGGGCUUAACCUAGGAACUGCAUCUCAUACUGUGUAACUAGAGUAUUGUAGAGGGUAGUGGAAUUUCCGGUGUAGCGGUGAAAUGCGUAGAGAUCGGAAGGAACACCAGUGGCGAAGGCGGCUACCUGGACAAAUACUGACGCUGAGGCGCGAGAGCGUGGGGAGCAAACAGG
rnacentral:rRNA from 1 species